rnacentral:rRNA from 1 species
GUGAAUCAUCGAAUCUUUGAACGCAUAUUGCGCUCUUUGGUAUUCCGAAGAGCAUGCUUGUUUGAGUAUCAGUAAACACCUCAAAACUCUUGAUCUUUUUCAAGCGUUUUGGACUUGAGCAAACCCAACGCCUUUUCUUUUAAGAUCUGUUGCGGCGGGUUGCUUGAAAUGCAGGUGCAGCUGGACAAUCUCCUGAGCUAAAAGCAUAUUUAUUUAGUCCCGUCAAACGGAUUAUUACUUUUUGCUGCAGCUAACAUAAAGGGAGUUUUGACCAUUAUGGCUGACUGAUGCAGGAUUUCACAGAGAAAGGGCCGGCAACGGUUUUGUCUCUGUCAAACUCGAUCUCAAAUCAAGUAAGACUACCCGCUGAACUUAAGCAUAUCAAUAAGCGGAGGA